UCUGUUGGCUGAGCGUUCUCGGAUUGGUGGAGAGAAACCAGGAAGGCCUUUUGAACCACACGCUGCCCUUUCUGGGGUCCUGUUUGUUCCCCAAUCUGAGCGAAAGGCAUCUCUUUCUGACUCUCUUCCAUUCGUCCUUCUGAAAGGUGACCGGAUUGGUUCCCCCUCUGCUCAUGAGGUGCAUAUGCUUGGUGCAUGUGUCCAGCCAUCUCUUCUGACUUGGUAAGUCGAGGAAUGGAACAAACCAUCUUGUGAGUCUUCGAACAGCGGGAGGUGGCAAACGUUGGCAGAACUGGGGCUGUUUCCUCCUUCGCACUUKGUUUUAAAACAAGUUGGGGCCUUGCGACUUCCCAAGAAAAUCCCGGCAAAUUUGCUACGAGUUGCUUGGGCCGCGACUUUUGAGAAGUAUUUUAACCCCAGCCGCUGAAGUCGUGGGGGAGUUCSUUUUCUCCGCGGGGCCGCGGUGCUCUCAGCCCGGGUGAGGCUGGCGCGCGGGUGGGAGGCCCGGGACGCGCUCUGGCGAUCACUGGGGCAGAGCAAGUUGCUCCAGGGGUGACUGCACUGGCCUGGGCGCGGGAGAGGGGGGCACUUGUCCUGCAAAGCUGCGUUUCAAUCCAGUCAUCUUUCCUCUUGUCUCCUGGUCUGACCCCGCAGUCCGCCACUGCCCGCGCUGGAGCACCGCGCCCUUGGCCACGGGAGCCCAAGUAAAAGGCUAGAUUCGAGGCAGCGGGCGGAGCCGGGACCAACGGGGCGGUGACUGAGCGGCGGGCCCCGCCCGGCCCCGCCCGCCGCACUCGGGCGCCUCUCUCAAGCCCGGCGGGACCAAGGGACUGACCGACCGACGCGGGCCACCCCGCUCUCCUCGCCGCCAAAGGCGGCGGGCGCGGGGCGGCGCGGAGAGGCCUGAUCCCUGCAGCACUGGCGCGCAGCGUUGCAGAGCRGAGCAAGCCAGACGCACCAGGACUCCUGCAGGCUCCGGCGAUUCGGGUUGCAGGUGCAGGUCUACUCCCGCAAGGGACUUUGCAUCCUACUGGGAGCCUGUCUGCAGGCGUCCCCCAUCUUCCAGUCCCCGGAGCGCGCCGUCGCUGGAGUCCUAAGUCUCUGCCUGUUGCGCGAGCUGCGAACAGCCGAAACGGUGUGUGAGUCCCUUUGAAAGCCGCGGGGAAGGAUAGUGCCUGCUGUAAAGCAUCUCUGGGUGAAUGAAAAAGAAAGAAGCUCAUGAUUUCUACACAUGACCCAGGAGCACCUUGGCUGAGGAUUCUGCGUCUUGCCAAUCUGUGAGAGUGGUUUCCCAGMGGRUGCUUGGCUUGUACAACCAGAGAACAGGAUUCUUCUCUUCUUUCUGGCCACUCAAUGCCUAUGUGCACUCCACGUUCCAAAGAGGGAAGAAGGGCGAAGCUUCUUGGAUGACAAUGGACGUUCUACUGUGCAGGAUGAGGGCAGAGUGUGUGACAUCGCCACCACAAGGGAACAUGGAAUGAUAAGUCUACACUGGGCCUCUGUCCCCAAGAAAGACUGCAGUGCUAUGUAGCCUCUGCCUCUUACACAAGU